rnacentral:rRNA from 1 species
GUGACUGCGUACCUUUUGUAUAAUGGGUCAGCGACUUAAUUUUAGUAGCAAGGUUAACCGAUUAGGGGAGCCGUAGGGAAACCGAGUCUUAACUGGGCGUACAGUUGCUAGGAUUAGACCCGAAACCAGGUGAUCUAGCCAUGGGCAGGUUGAAGGUGAGGUAACACUUACUGGAGGACCGAACCGACUAAUGUUGAAAAAUUAGCGGAUGACUUGUGGCUAGGGGUGAAAGGCCAAUCAAACCUGGAGAUAGCUGGUUCUCCCCGAAAGCUAUUUAGGUAGCGCCUCGGACGAAUACUACUGGGGGUAGAGCACUGUUAAGGCUAGGGGGUCAUCCCGACUUACCAACCCUUUGCAAACUCCGAAUACCAGUAAGUACUAUCCGGGAGACACACGGCGGGUGCUAACGUCCGUCGUGGAGAGGGAAACAACCCAGACCGCCAGCUAAGGUCCCAAAGU